GACGAACGCUGGCGGCGUGCUUAACACAUGCAAGUCGAACGAUGAAGCCCAGCUUGCUGGGUGGAUUAGUGGCGAACGGGUGAGUAACACGUGGGCAACCUGCCCCAAACUCUGGGAUAACUCCUCGAAAGAGGUGCUAAUACCGGAUACGAACUAGACAGACAUCUGUACUAGUUGGAAAGUUUUUCGGUUUGGGAUGGGCCCGCGGCCUAUCAGCUUGUUGGUGAGGUAACGGCUCACCAAGGCUACGACGGGUAACCGGCCUGAGAGGGCGACCGGUCACACUGGGACUGAGACACGGCCCAGACUCCUACGGGAGGCAGCAGUGGGGAAUAUUGCGCAAUGGGCGAAAGCCUGACGCAGCGACGCCGCGUGAGGGAUGAAGGUCUUCGGAUCGUAAACCUCUUUCAGUAGGGACGAAGCGAAAGUGACGGUACUUUCAGAAGAAGCCCCGGCUAACUACGUGCCAGCAGCCGCCGUAA
rnacentral:rRNA from 1 species